UGAGUACGAGACGCUAAGGCGUUGAAGCAGUCUAUGUCAGACUUCCAAGAAAAGCUCGCAAUGUCAUAAACAACAAAUGCCUGUACCAUAACCGACACAGGUGGGUAGGUAGAGUAUACUAAGGGGCGCGAGAUAACUCUCUCUAAGGAACUCGGCAAAAUGACUCCGUAACUUCGGGAGAAGGAGUGCCUUCUUGAAGAAGGUUGCAAUAACAAGAUCCAAGCAACUGUUUACCAAAAACACAGGUCUCCGCUAAGUCGUAAGACGAUGUAUGGGGGCUGACGCCUGCCCAGUGCCAGAAGGUUAAAGAAGUUGGUUAGCCUAGCGAAGCUGAUGACUGAAGCCCUGGUGAACGGCGGCCGUAACUAUAACGGUCCUAAGGUAGCGAAAUUCCUUGUCGGGUAAGUUCCGACCCGCACGAAAGGCGUAAUGAUUUGGAUACUGUCUCGGAGAGGGGCUCGGUGAAAUAGACUUGUCUGUGAAGAUGCGGACUACCUGCACCUGGACAGAAAGACCCUAUGAAGCUUUACUGUAACUUGAGAUUGAAAUUGGACUUUAUUUGCGCAGUAUAGGUGGGAGACUUUGAGAAUAUUCUUGCGGGAAUAUUGGAGUCAUCAGUGAGAUACCACUCUUGUAAUGUUAGAUUUCUAACUUUGGAUCAUUAUCUGGUCAAAGGACAGUUUCAGGCGGGCAGUUUGACUGGGGCGGUCGCCUCCCAAACGGUAACGGAGGCGCACAAAGGUUUCCCCUGAACGUGUAGAAAUCGUAUCUAGAGUGUAAAGGCAUAAGGAAGCUUGACUGUGAGACCUACAAGUCGAGCAGGGACGAAAGUCGGUCUUAGUGAUCUGACGGUGCUGAGUGGAAAGGCCGUCACUCAACGGAUAAAAGUUACUCUAGGAUAACAGGCUGAUCUCCCCCAAGAGUUCACAUCGACGGGGAGGUUUGGCACCUCGAUGUCGGCUCAUCGCAUCCUGGGGCGGUAGUACGUCCCAAGGGUUGGGCUGUUCGCCCAUGAAAGCGGUACGCGAGCUGGGUUCAGAACGUCGUGAGACAGUUCGGUCCAUAUCCGGUGUAGGCGUUAGAAUAUUGAGAGGAGCCUUCUUUAGUACGAGAGGACCGAGAAGGACAUACCUCUGGUGUACCAGUUAUCGUGCCAACGGUAAACGCUGGGUAGCUAUGUAUGGAGUGGAUAACCGCUGAAAGCAUCUAAGUGGGAAGCCCACCUCAAGAUAAGUAUUCUCA
rnacentral:rRNA from 1 species